ensembl:lncRNA
AGAUGAAAUCAGGAGAUGUCCUUACUGAAUCAUCAGAGCUGAACUGGUGAUGGAGAAACAGGUUUACACUUUAGGUGACAUGAAUGAGUUGAAGGGAAGUUAUGAGUUGUUUCUGAGAGACAAAGACCAAGCUCCUUUUUUGUGUAGCUGACAGCUGGUAACUGUGCAGGGGCAGCUAGGGCAUUAACAGAGAAAGGUGGACACAAAGAUAUACUUUUCUUUCUUACUCUCAUAUAAAAUAUUUAGCUUUUAUUAAAUAGUUAUCUGAAUCUCACAACCAAAGUUUGUAUAAUAAUACACAAGAUUGGCUGUAGACCAUUG